rnacentral:rRNA from 1 species
AGAGUUUGUUCAUGGCUCAGAACGAACGCUGGCGGCAGGCCUAACACAUGCAAGUCGAGCGCGCCUUCGGGCGAGCGGCGGACGGGUUAGUAACGCGUGGGAACGUGCCCAGAUCUACGGAAUAGCCACUGGAAACGGUGAGUAAUACCGUAUACGCCCUUCGGGGGAAAGAUUUAUCGGAUUUGGAUCGGCCCGCGUUAGAUUAGGUAGUUGGUGGGGUAACGGCCUACCAAGCCUACGAUCUAUAGCUGGUUUUAGAGGAUGAUCAGCAACACUGGGACUGAGACACGGCCCAGACUCCUACGGGAGGCAGCAGUGGGGAAUCUUGGACAAUGGGGGCAACCCUGAUCCAGCCAUGCCGCGUGAGUGAAGAAGGCCCUAGGGUCGUAAAACUCUUUCGCCUGUGAUGAUAAUGACAGUAGCAGGUAAAGAAACCCCGGCUAACUCCGUGCCAGCAGCCGCGGUAAUACGGAGGGGGUUAGCGUUGUUCGGAAUUACUGGGCGUAAAGCGCACGUAGGCGGAUUAGAAAGUUAGAGGUGAAAUCCCGGGGCUCAACCCCGGAACUGCCUUUAAAACUACUAGUCUAGAGUUCGAGAGAGGUGAGUGGAAUUCCGAGUGUAGAGGUGAAAUUCGUAGAUAUUCGGAGGAACACCAGUGGCGAAGGCGGCUCACUGGCUCGAUACUGACGCUGANGUGCGAAAGUGUGGGGAGCAAACAGGAUUAGAUACCCUGGUAGUCCACACCGUAAACGAUGAAUGCCAGUCGUCGGGUAGUAUACUAUUCGGUGACACACCU